UCUGGCGGCUGUAGCGCGGUGGUCCCACCUGACCCCAUACCGAACUCAGAAGUGAAACGCCGUAGCGCCGAUGGUAGUGUGGGGUCUCCCCAUGCGAGAGUAGGGAACUGCCAGAC
rnacentral:rRNA from 1 species